AUGCCGCCGGCUACGUGGACAGCCACCAAGCUGCGCUUCACCUCAGACGCCGGCUUUAUCAACGCGGGCACCAACCACAACAUGUCGUCCGAGUACAUCACGCCGUUGAUGGGCAAGAGCUGGCACAAUGUUCGUAGCUUCGGCGGCGGCGCUGGCGCGCGGAGCUGCUACACGCUCGGCCCCCUCGUGGCCGGGCUCAAGCACCUCGUCCGGGCCAAGUUCAUGUACCGCAAUUAUGACGGCCUCAACAAAGCGCCCGUCUUCGACCUCCACGUCGGCGUCAACUACUGGACGACCGUGAACAUCUCGAACGCCAAGUCGCCAACACGCCGGAAAUCUACGAGAUCAUCGCCGUCGUUCCUGGCGACUCGGCCGAGGUGUGCCUCGUGA
rnacentral:rRNA from 1 species